rnacentral:rRNA from 1 species
AUUGAACGCUGGCGGCGUGCCUAAUACAUGCAAGUAGAACGAGUUGCGAACGGGUGAGUAACGCGUGGUAACCUGCCUCAUAGCGGGGGAUAACUAUUGGAAACGGUAGCUAAUACCGCAUACCAUCAGAUGUGCCCAGAUGGUAUUAGCUUGUUGGUGGGGUAACGGCUCACCAAGGCGACGAUCCCUAGCUGGGCUGAGAGGAUGACCAGCCACACUGGAAAUGAGACACGGUCCAGACUCCUACGGGGGGCAGCAGUGGGGAAUAUUGCACAAUGGGCGCAAGCCUGAUGCAGCCAUGCCGCGUGUAUGAAGAAGGCCUUCGGGUUGUAAAGUACUUUCAGCGGGGAGGCGUUACCCGCAGAAGAAGCACCGGCUAACUCCGUGCCAGCAGCCGCGGUAAUUC